UUAGUUUGAAGCUUCGGCAGAUUUCUAAGAUGGACAGCGGCGAAAGGGAGAGUAAUGAGUGGAUUACCUACCCCCAGGACCGGGAUAGCUGUGGGAAACCGCAGGUAAUACCGGAUAAUAUCUCCGGAUCAAAUGGUGAGAUUCCGCCAGGGGAUGGGUCCGCUUCCUAUUAGCUUGUUGGUGGGGUAACGGCCUACCAAGGCAACAAUGGGUACCGGGUGUGAGAGCAUGGCCCGGCUCACUGGGACUGAGACACUGCCCAGACACCUACGGGUGGCUGCAGUCGAGAAUCUUCCGCAAUGGGCGAAAGCCUGACGGAGCGACGCCGCGUGCGGGAUGAAGGCCUUCGGGUUGUAAACCGCUGUCAGUUGGGAGGAAAUCUAUGGGGGUUCUCCCCCAUAGUUGACCUAUCU
rnacentral:rRNA from 1 species